UGGGGAAUUUUUCGCAAUGGGCGCAAGCCUGACGAAGCAACGCCGCGUGGAGGAUGAAGGUCUUCGGAUUGUAAACUCCUGUCGACCGGGACGAAUGCACUCGACCUAAUACGUCGAGUUGUUGACGGUACCGGUGGAGGAAGCCACGGCUAACUCUGUGCCAGCAGCCGCGGUAAUACAGAGGUGGCAAGCGUUGUUCGGAAUUACUGGGCGUAAAGGGCGCGUAGGCGGCCUUGUAAGUCUCGUGUGAAAGCCCUCGGCUUAACUGAGGAUCUGCACGGGAUACUGCGAGGCUAGAGUUCGGGAGAGGAAAGCGGAAUUCCGGGUGUAGCGGUGAAAUGCGUAGAUAUCCGGAGGAACACCAGGGGCGAAGGCGGCUUUCUGGACCGACACUGACGCUGAGGCGCGAAAGCUAGGGGAGCAAACGGGAUUAGAUACCCUUGUAGUCCCUGAGCGGGCUGGCAAGGCGCAU
rnacentral:rRNA from 1 species